CUGGGGGCGGUUGUCUGCCGUGCCCGCUGCCCCCCGCUUCUCUCCUUUCCUUCCUCCCUCUCUCUCUCCCCUCCCCAUCUGUUAUAGGUGUGCGGAGCGGUGGCACUUUGAAAUUAAACGUGCCCUCUGCUGCACCAGCUGGGGUCUGUGAUGUAUCUUAUAAAUGGAGCUCUGCCCGUCGGCUUCAGGUCAUGCAAGGAAAAGGGCAGCGCUGGGGAGGGAGCUGGGCGGGGUUUCCCUCCGCUUUUCAGUCAGACGAGAGGAGUCUGGUUGAUGUCUGCAGCAGAUAAAGGAGACGAGGAUCAUCAAAAGACCCCAGAGCCCUUUUAUCUUCCUGCUGUUUCUCCCUGUAACUUCGUUUAUCGGUGACGCGGUGUCUGCCUGCUCGUUCCCCCCAGCAGGGGCCGGGUGCGCCAGGCCUGGCUGAGGUAGUAGUUUGUGCUGUUGGUCGGGUUGUGACAUUGCCCGCUGUGGAGAUAACUGCGCAAGCUACUGCCUUGCUAGUGCUGGUGAUGAUCAGCUGCAGAAGAAGACAAUGACAAUGGGAAUCCCCUUUGUUUUCCCGGGAUUGGACGCUGCUGAGGUGGCAGCGGUUCUUUUCCUCUCUUCCUCUCCUCUCCUCCUGCCCAGCCGUGGCCGCUGGGACGUGCGGGGUCUGACCCUGUCAGCGGGAUGCUGCUGCUUUUGCAGCCCGGGUGAGAAACCAUUAGUUUCACGCUGCUUGGAGGGCACUUUAAUUUGAUCUGAAGAGCAAGUGUCUGCGUUUUUUCCAGUGCUUACACCUUCUUAUUCACAUGGCACCGCUGGAAGGUGGAUUUUCUAUUUCGUGAAGACCGAGUGAUGACUAACUUGUAUUUUCUGUGUUCUGAGUAUGCAAAACUUGUACGUGUGAUCUUAAAUGCUCUGAUUUGAACAGUAAAAGAUCUGAAUAUCUACCAGGAGUGAAGUAUGUGAAUUGCUGCUUUCCUUACAGUGAGAAGAUUGUUUCACAGUGUAGUUUACUAUCAUUGUACGGCUUGGUGCCAGCAGUGUUUUUUUAGGUGAACUUCUGAGAUUUUUAUUUCUGUAUUGUGAUAUAUUCUUUGUGAAAAAGAAACCGUGAGUCUUCUCUUGUGAAUUAAUUGAAAUUGCUGGUAUGUUCAUAGCGUUGGCUGAGGGUAUCGUUUUGAUUGAAAUUCAGCGUGUUGACCGAGCGCUUAUUGCCAUGGCUUAAACUUGAAAUACAUUAAAGCAUUUACAAUAAAUGUGCAUAACUGUCUCUUAUGUUCCUAAAAAUGAGAGUUAAUUUUUCAGCCCUUACGAGGUCUGGCUGCAAGCAGGUUAUGGUUAAUCCUUUCAGUUCACAGCGAAAGUUAAAGCUGUAGCUAAGCACUUCAAAGUUGUUGUAUUAGCACUGGUUCCACUUCACAGUUCUCAUGUAUUAUUAUUGGUAAGAGUUGGGUAAACUUUGAGAUAUGUUUCUUUGCCUCAUUUUUUAAACAUUUGCACUCCUCCUGCAUUUAGAACACACAUAAAGGUUGCUCUUUCACCUCAGCUGAAUGUGAAGUGCCCUGCAGAAUAUAAGGAAUGUUCUUGCUGGCAAGUUUAAUUUAGUAAUACUUCAUUUGUAUACUGAGCAAUGAGUUAUCUGCUCAUUCAAGCCUUUCCGUAACAUAAAGCUAAAACAUUUUCAUGCUUGCUAAUAGCAUGUUAAGUGUUCUCUUUGAGACAAAAUAGCUAUCAAAUUUUAAACAUACCCUGGAUUUGUUUUUUUGUUUGCUUGUUUUUCCCACCUUAACUGAAACAGGCAUGGGGAUACCGUAGAUGCCUGCUUUUCACAUCCCAAGAAACAGCAGUUGGCAAACGAAUCCCCUUGAGGAUUGCUCUGGAAGUUAUGGUGGUAUUUUCACCAUCUACCUUUAGGCAUCUCUUUUAGCUGGGUAACCCACUAAGUUCAUCUUUCAGUGGAGGUGGCAGAAAGAGAUUCUUGAUGUAAAUCACAGUUUCAAGCGCCCCUAACAAACAUAGUUUGAUCUCAAUGGUCCUUUCAGAGGAGUUUGCCUCUGCAGGUUGAUUGCAAGGGAGGUGAAGGAGCUUCAGCUAAGCUAAGUGCCUGUAGGUGGGUGGUGUGAAAUUGUCCUCUAUCUUGCUUUCUUUUCCUGUGCUUGGGGAACUUGAGUAAAACCAGGAUUUGGCUCCCUUUGUGUGUGUGGUUUUUCUUUCUCCUGGGCUGAGCAAAUCAAUGGGAAAAGAUGUUCCAGUAUGCAUCCAUUAAGUACUUACCUCCUGUGUAAAAUCUCUCUCUUAAACUUCAUUUGCUGCCUAAGUAAUCAAUUGUUCAUGCUGUGGAUUGUAACUUCAGUGUUCAGGGAGGGUGUCGAGAACCCGUACUAAAAUAAGACAGAGCUACUACAAUAAUGCAGGUUGGGGUGGGAGAUUGCUGGUGAGUGGUUGUGCAGUGGUUUGUCCUCAUGUCCAUGUAGGACUCAAUUAUGUAUUGCUUGGGAGGUUUUAGGUACACAACAAUGAUUUCCUCAGGGAGCUGUGUUCAAGAUGUAUAGUUUUGCAAUAGGGAUUGCCAGACCUUUCUUAGGGCAGAGCCCCCUUGCAUAUAGAAAUCAGAGUCCAGAUGAGUCCAUGCUUAGCUUUGUCAUAGUACUUAUUGCUUAACUGUCCAACUUGCACAGCUUAUUUACAUGAAUAAUGCUGCGACAUGAUGCUUCAAGGCAAAAAAGAUUAAUUCUUCAGUGCAGUGGAGAACCUCAUCUUAGUGAUGUUGCAAAAUCGAAGCUGGUAUUACUGAAAACACUGUAAACCUAAAAUGGAAAGAGUAGCUGCUAUCUUCCAAAUCCAGUGAUCCCUUAUUGUGAUUUGAUGAAUUAGUUUGGAAAGAAAAAUUGCAUCAUGCCAAUUAAAAAGCUGUACUGCUGGCACGUUAUUGUCUAUGGUAUUGUUUCUUGCUGAAUUUUUUUUCCCUUUUAUUCUUCAGAGGUUUCACUCAGUCAAACUUCUUGUGUGAAUUUGUUAUAGAAAUUAAAAUAGGCACAUGGCUGAGUUGAUGGAAUUUCUGUGUAAAGUUAUUUAGUUUAUAGUAUCUCUAUUGUGUAUUGUUUGCUGUGCUGGAUGAGAAAGUACUGCAAGAAAUGUUCCUCCGUAGCUUUUCUGAGCACUUCUUUUGACUCAUGGAAUAAUAAAAACGUAUUGAGAUUCACAGCAUAGACAAUUAAGCUUUAGAUGCUCUUAUUCCCUGUUUUGAUGUCUUUUUGUGCUAUUGUCUUACCUAUUUUGUGAAGAACAGUCACCAGCUGCUCACCCCUCCAGCUACUGUCUGUCAAUGCUGCUUCUAAAGAUACUGGCAGACAUCAACCUAAAAUCUUAGAUUCCAAAUAGUUGCUUCCCUGCAGGGUGCAGUUGCCCUCUGUGUCACCAAGGAGAGUGCUGUGUUCCCAUGCUAGCAGAACUGGUAUUGGAGCACUUGCCUCCACUGAGGCUGCCCCUGUUCUUCUGCUGUAAUGGAUCCUGGACAGCGCACAUAAUGGGUGAGACCUCCUGCUUACACCAGGGAACAGCUCAAGACAGUAAGGGGAAAUGCCAGUUUCUAGGGAGUUAUAUCUUUAAGCACUUGAAGUAUAUAAGCACAUAAGCACUUGAAAGAUAUCAGUUCAUUUGGUAAGUUAGAUGUACUGCUUUGCAUAGGAUGCUUUCGUUUCUGUUAGAAUGAGCGUUAAAUUAACAAAAGUAAAUGCUAGCGAUUCUUAAUGAAAAUGAAUCCCGUUCUUUGCAAGGAGUGAGGAUUUUGAGUAUGUCUUAUGCCUUGUACCACAAAGGAAUUAGUAUGAAAGUGCUGGCAUUGAAGACAAGGUAAUGCUUACCCCACUGUCUGUGUGAGGGUUUGCGUGUGUUGUGGGAAGAAGGGUAGUUCUGCUUUUGGUCCCUUUUUGAGUUACCACUUCAGGAGGAACUGUUGGAGUGACCCACUGUUACCCAUGGCACAUGUUCCCAGAAGGUUGUGCUUGAUGCAAACACAUCUCACAGGCAAGCAAGAUCUUAGUAUGCCACCUGCAAAGAGGAAACAGUUAAGUGUGGAACUAAAGGAAAAAGCAUGGUCAUACGUUUCCAGGCGAUUUGAAGUCUACUUUUUAAUCUAGUUGCUGGUUUAUCUGGUAGAAGUCAGUAUGCUCUGGGGUUUUCUUUUGCUUGUAGUUUGCUUAAAGCAGCUGCUGAUGCUUUGUGUUUACGUCCGAAGCUUAGUUUUCAGUUUGAAGUACAUCUUGUUCCCUCUGGUCCAAAAAAGGAGUUGGUAACUGAGCACUGAGAUCAUGGCUUCAUAUAAAAUAUGUUCAUUCUGUCUGUGCUUCAAUGUGUUGCAGUGUGUAUAAGAACAUGAAGGAGGAAUUUUCUGGAAAUUUAAAAUGCUUUACAUGAACGUUACAUUUUACUUGUAUGAAGCUUUGUGAUAGCUAAAUACAUUCCGGUGUUUGAAGUAAGAAGUAGUGUCCUUAGUUCAAUGAAAAUUGUAUUGCUCUUGCCCAAUAAAAUGAUACUGUAGAUGAGCUGUGUUUCUGUAGAGGACCACGGAAUGCGCCAGUCACCAAUGUAUGCAAGUGUGACAGGCAGGCUCACAUGUUCCUCUCUCAUGUUGUGGUAAGUGUGGCUGUAUGCCUAAUAAAAAACACCAAGGGGCCAAAAAUGAACUGAGACAUCUCUUUGUGAGCCUCUGUCAUGGAACUUACAGAACAUUCUGAGAGCCUUAUCGCUAAAUCGAUCGCCUGCUUAAUAGGUAUGAAUUCAGGUAAGAAAGCCACCACCUGGCUCCAUUUUCUGUUUGCUUAGUGUUAAUGAGAUGAAUCCUGUUGCUUGUUUUUUUUUUUUUUUUUUUUUUCUGAAUGACAUUUAGCUAUGUUGUAGAUGAACCACGAAGUAUCCCUCGAGGAGAAUGACACCAAGGAGGGAGAUGUUUGACAAUCUGCAUUCUUUUUGUUCUUUCUCUUCCUAAAUUGAAAGCAGAUUUUAGAAGCUGAGGGAGAUACGGGGCCAAAGUACAGUCAUCUGUGAAAUGCUGUGAUAGAUGCAUGGGCUGAGCAAUGCAUUCUGACUCUUGUUCAUGGAGCUGAAGCCCUGGGCUUCUUCCAGAUUAUCAGGUCACCUCUGUACUGCAAGUCAGCAGCUGUGCUUUACAGUGUGAAAGCUAUUCCUAUAUUUCUUGCCAAUGCGGGCUCUUACAGUGAGGGGACUGUUCAUCUAUUGCAUACCUAAGGACUAUACCAGCAUGCAUAAUUUAUAUGAGGGUCUUACAUAAGCCACAGCCCUUCAGCAUGUCCUGCAAAGUCAAUCCACUGCUGUAUAGCACCUAGUUCUCACUGCUUCCAUCUAGCAAUGACAGCUUCAAGGCCAUCCACAUUAGGUGCAAGGAAACAAGGUUAUCUACAGUGGUUGGAGUUCGGUACUUGCCUAUCUGCUUGAUGUCAAAUGGGCCCAGUGUUGGCAUAUACAAUGGGCUGCAGCAAAGAUGUGAUAGUUGUGCUUCAUGUGAUCUUCUUUCCUCACUACUAACUGUACGCAUUGUCAAUAUAUGCAUAUUCAUUGUCACUGUCCGUACCUAUUUUGUGCUGUUGUGUUGCGUAACCCUGCCUAAUUCACUCAGUGCUUUGUUAGAUGCUGAGAUUCUGCAGCCUAGCAGUCUGGUGUGGCAGUGAAACAGUAGCCCUUUGAGCUGGGCCCAUUGGCAAUGCCAUCAGUAUCAGUGUGGCCCUUCGUGCUGCAGAACUUAAAUAUGGACAGAAGAAAUGCUUCUGUCAAAAAUGGUCACAGCACGUUACUUCUUUAUAAACUCACGUGUGUUUGUCUAGAAUGCCUGGAGGUAAGAUAAGACUGAAACGGUAGGUAUGCUUAUACAGUUGGAGAGCUAGCACUGCUAUAUACAUUAAAUGUUACUGGUGUGCCAGUCUGCCAACUACAAUGCUAUCGUUUUCUAGGUCCCAUGUAUUUGUUCCCUCUCAUGACUUGGCUUUUCCACAACUCCCCAGCCUCAUUAAUUUCUUGGUCCUUUCUGGCACCUGAAGGAUAGUUUUCUAGUCAUGGUUCUCCUUGAUGUUGUACAUGCUUUUUCAUGCAUCCUGUCCCCCCUGCUGAAUUUCCUGCUUUAGUGCAUGAUUUUAGGCUAGAGUAGAAUAGAAAAUGGGGAAUGAUGCCAGAGGAAGCAAGUAGUUAAGUUCUACCAAUCUUUUUUUUUUUUUUUUAACAUGAUUGAAAAGUAAUAGCAGUCUGAUAAGGUAACAAAGUGCAAAGCUUAAAAUAGAUAAACAGCAGUGUUAGUGAUCAAAACCCAAAUAAAAUGAUCAGUACAAGCUCCAUAGAGAACAAAGGCCCUUAAAUAUUUAUGCAGUUUGUUCUCCUCUUCCUUCGCCAGGCUUGUACUACCAACAGCCCUGCUGCUGUAGCAGUGUGAUGGUAUUCAGGAUAUUGUGUCCUCUGGUAACCUCCAGCAGCCACCACAUAAGCUGCAGCUCACUGAAGCUGGAUUUAGAGGCAACGCUCAAACAGUUCAGGCACAGAUCUCUUAAGAGCUUGGAAAAAGGCAGGCAAGUAGUGGAAGUGAUCUUUUGAAUCACUGAUGCAUAGUUCAAAUUGAUGAGACUGGCAAGUGAAAGAAAAAUAAAGCUGAGGAAGAUAUUUGCCUUACUGAAGAAUGAGAAAAGAGAGGGGAAGAAACAGAAGAAACAGAAGUAGC
ensembl:lncRNA